UCGGAAUCACUGGGCGUAAAGCGCACGUAGGCGGCUUUCUACGUCAGGGGUGAAAUCCUGGAGCUCAACUCCAGAACUGCCUUUGAUACUGGAGAGCUUGAGUCCGGAAGAGGUGAGUGGAACUCCGAGUGUAGAGGUGAAAUUCGUAGAUAUUCGGAAGAACACCAGUGGCGAAGGCGGCUCACUGGUCCGGUACUGACGCUGAGGUGCGAAAGCGUGGGGAGCAAACAGG
rnacentral:rRNA from 1 species